UUUCCGCGGGCCGCCGCCGGUUGCCAGGCGACGCGGCCGGCGGCGGCCCGGCCCGGCCCCGGGGCGGGAAACCUGAGGCGGCCGGUGGCAGCGGCGCCGCCUGUGAGGAGAGCCCUGAGGGGCUGCGGUUGUGUCCGGGGGGUUGUUCGCGCCCGGGAGCCGGCACGGGAAAAAACCCCUUUGGGCUGGGGAGAGUAAAAGUGUGCGGUGAAGGCGGUCCUGUCACACCGCAGAAACACGGUCGCUGCCGCGAUGGUUAAUCGCCGUCCGGAGUCGUUACCGUCACCUCGCACUGAGGGAGCGCCAAGGGAGAAGUGGGAGACGGCGGGAGAUCGUGGGGUCGGCUGGUGCCCUGGUGAGGCGGGGGUGGGCCCGGUGCUUCAGCUCCGCCGGAGGGCCCGGGCCGGGAGAGGGGAGCAGGAGCAGCGGGAGGCAGCUCCGCGUUCCUCGGGGUGCGCCUCGUUGUUUUAGUUGCUGCUGGCUGGGUAUCGGCUGUGCCUCUGUCCUCGUUAUCAUGAAUGUUUGGGGAAAUAAAUGCUUCCACACAGCUCAGUGAAAAAUAUUUGCCGCUCUGCAACUAAAGCCAUGUCAAGAAAACCAUCAAUUAAUCCAGAAGGAUCAGAGAAAUCUCCCAGUCCUUUCAGCUCUUCAGCCUCUUCCUGAGUCAAUUAAAUAAUUCUGUAUGCAUAAUCCCAAAUAAAAUGUGUGACCUCUUUGAUUCAGUUAAUUAGUUCUCUUUCCCCAAAAUCUGUCACUGACCUUACUGUGUGUAUAGCACCUAAAGUGCUUUUAUCUCAAGUGAGUAAACUCUUCAACUCUUCUAAGCUUGAUUCACAUACACAUAUGCAUCAAACAAGAAUUUCUUAAAUGUUCAGUAGAAAAUUGGCUGUUUUCUUUGAUUUCUCAGCUGAUCUUCAGCAGAAAUGAUUCUGUGUUAGGGCUUGUUUAGUGGUAGAUAUGACAGCUACCUGGUUGCAUGCUCGGAUUGCACAUAGCUCCUUAAAUCAAUAUUUGCAUAGAGUGGUGCAAAAAAUGAGUGAUGGAGUAUUUAAUCCAUGGUAGAAUCUCAUUAUUAGAUUAUGAAGAUUAUUUAUUAUCUUUAAAUUCAAAAUGUAAAAUAAUUUUCAUUUAAUAUAUUUUUGAAGAUAUGACUACUUUGUUUUCAAAUAGUGGAAGAUUCUUGCAACACAGUAAGGCUGCUGGGCAGCUUACUUGCUCAAAGAACUGUACUUGCCACUUUUCACCUCUGAAUCACCACUUCAGAAACCCAGAUUUGUCAUGGGAAUUUUCUAAUUAUUAUGAAAUCAAUUUGUCCAACCCAGUCCAAAUCACAAGAGACAGACAACAGUUUUGUCAGUCAGUAGAAUAUGGGAGGCUGAACGCACUUGACAACGUGACUCUUUCCAGGCAGGUUUUCAAGGGCAGCACGCGAGCGUGUUGGCCAGGUGAUACGGUGAGGUUUGCAUUUCUUCUAGCUUUGCAAACCUGCUUUCUGACAGUUGAAAAGGAAUGGAAUUUCUAAGCCAACUCUUUUGUAUGUUGUUCUUCAUCGAUUCGUAUCUGCACAUUGCCUUCAGAUUUUAAUAUGUCUCUGUCAUUUUGAAAAACUGGAUUUGCUGGUAUAUGGUGAAAAAGAAUACGAGGCAGAGCAGAACCAAUGGAUUGGAACCGGUACUCCAGGACAGUUUUCCUGAGAGAACAGAUCCAGUUUCUGGGUCUGCUUACCGUCGCAGAGCAGGGUGGCCGGAGAGGUUGAAGCCUACCUGCAUUGAUUUGACAAUCACACAACUUCUGUCCAAAAAGAAAGAAAAACUACAGAUUCAAGAAAUGACCGAGGUCUCGCCUCCAGCCAAAGCUUCAGCCUGGACACAAUGAGUGCUGAUGUGCACUGACCCUCCGGAGGAAAUCACUAAAGAUACACACCUGUAGAACACGUAGAUACCCCAGCCAGAAUACAGAACAAAUUCCUAGUUUGAAUUGUAAAAAUAUCUUAAUUUAAGUAAAAGACAUUCAGUCCUUUU